GUAGUGGCAGAAGUUCGCUUUUCCUUAUAUGACUACAGCCCCUUACCACCUUGUUUGUGUCAUCUGUAUCUUUAAAGGGAGAGUUUCUGUCCUCUCCUUCGAUGACUUCAUUUCUGUUUUUGCUGUUUUGAAGUAGAUAAUAUCACCUGCGUGCUUUUAAAGAUGAGGCAACAGGGCCAAGAGAAAUUCAGCACCUGCCCUCCAUUUCAAGCUGCCACAAAGUAAACAGCUUCUUCUCCUGCGUGCUCCCAACAUGGCAUGCUGCUGGGCUGUGUGCAUCUCAAAGGCAGUAGGCCAACAGGCCAUGGACUGGACCAUCUGAAACCAUUAGCUAAAGUAGAUCUUCCUUCCUUGUCCGUUGUUGAUUUCAUAUAUUUUGUCACAGUGAUGGAAAGUUGACUAAUACACCAAGAUUAAUUCUCCAAUAAAGACAAACUCUGUGAUUUCCUGAGUGAGUGAGAAAAACAAGAAGAGUGAGUUAUAGAGUGUAUCCCAAGGUGGGGCCGAGUGCUGCGGUAUUCUGCACACCUUCUUCCCAUGAGGGUGUGACGGGAGGAAUGAUGCUCCCCCUACAAGCCCCGCUAUGAAUAGCACCUGAAAUGGCAAAAGGUCUGCUGAAUAUCACUUGAGAAAAUCAGGACUGGCCUCUGCAUAUUUUAGAAUCAAGCCAGGAAGAGGACUGAGAGCAACUGAGCCGUCGGCUAGUGAGAUCAGGACAAGGUGAGCUCCGUGGAGGCUGCCUCUGGGAAGACGCAAGCUGAGUGUUUGCUGCCCAGGCCUUCUGUUUCCGUGGAAAGACAGUUUGCUUUGGGCUCAUGCACUUUCCCACCAUGUCGGCCUUCCUCAGAGUCACAGUGGGCCACCUGUGCAGAGAUCACUGUUAAAAAGAGCCGUUCUGGCUGCUGGUUAGGAGUGAAAACCCUAGCAGUGGUGGACACAUAGUUCCCAUCCCACGUCCAACUGGGGAGCGACCUGAUGGCUCAUCUUCUCCCUUAACUCUUCCUGAAGCAGAGGACGUGAUGGACAUUGCAAUUAGCAUGGCACCCUCCCACCCCAGGCGAUUACGAUCAGAUGUCCUUUCUCUUAAAGACAUAACCUUUGCAACAAGAGAGCUAAACAUCGGAUGUGUGGCAGGGAUUAAAUCUCUAUGCUAGAAGAAUGAUUUAUGCUCCCAUAAAGCCAAACAAAACCCAAUUUGGUAAGAUGAGACCACCAGAAAUUAUGUUCAUGGUGAAAAACAGAAGAGAACUAAUUACCCCAGUGCAGUGUUCCAUGUAGGUAUAAUUCUACAGUCAAUUAGUAUUCUGUUUAAUUGUACAAUUAAUGAACAUAUAAAUUAAAUUCAUAGUU